UGCUUUCUCCGCUGACGAGCGGCGGACGGGUGAGUAAUGUCUGGGGAUCUGCCUGAUGGAGGGGGAUAACUACUGGAAACGGUAGCUAAUACCGCAUAACGUCGCAAGACCAAAGUGGGGGACCUUCGGGCCUCAUGCCAUCAGAUGAACCCAGAUGGGAUUAGCUAGUAGGUGAGGUAAUGGCUCACCUAGGCGACGAUCCCUAGCUGGUCUGAGAGGAUGACCAGCCACACUGGAACUGAGACACGGUCCAGACUCCUACGGGAGGCAGCAGUGGGGAAUAUUGCACAAUGGGCGCAAGCCUGAUGCAGCCAUGCCGCGUGUAUGAAGAAGGCCUUCGGGUUGUAAAGUACUUUCAGUAGGGAGGAAGGUGUGCGUGUUAAUAGCACGUGCAAUUGACGUUACCUACAGAAGAAGCACCGGCUAACUCCGUGCCAGCAGCCGCGGUAAUACGGAGGGUGCAAGCGUUAAUCGGAAUUACUGGGCGUAAAGCGCACGCAGGCGGUUUGUUAAGUUGGAUGUGAAAUCCCCGGGCUUAACCUGGGAACUGCAUCCAAGACUGGCAAGCUAGAGUCUCGUAGAGGGAGGUAGAAUUCCAGGUGUAGCGGUGAAAUGCGUAGAGAUCUGGAGGAAUACCGGUGGCGAAGGCGGCCUCCUGGACGAAGACUGACGCUCAGGUGCGAAAGCGUGGGGAGCAAACAGGAUUAGAUACCCUGGUAGUCCACGCUGUAAACGAUGUCGAUUUGGAGGUUGUGCCCUUGAGGCGUGGCUUCCGAAGCUAACGCGUUAAAUCGACCGCCUGGGGAGUACGGCCGCAAGGUUAAAACUCAAAUGAAUUGACGGGGGCCCGCACAAGCGGUGGAGCAUGUGGUUUAAUUCGAUGCAACGCGAAGAACCUUACCUACUCUUGACAUCCAGCGAAUCCUGUAGAGAUACGGGAGUGCCUUCGGGAACGCUGAGACAGGUGCUGCAUGGCUGUCGUCAGCUCGUGUUGUGAAAUGUUGGGUUAAGUCCCGCAACGAGCGCAACCCUUAUCCUUUGUUGCCAGCGGUUCGGCCGGGAACUCAAAGGAGACUGCCAGUGAUAAACUGGAGGAAGGUGGGGAUGACGUCAAGUCAUCAUGGCCCU
rnacentral:rRNA from 1 species